GAAAAAAUCGGCGGCAACAAAUCAUACUCUAUCCAAUACUCUCCCUCCAUUUCUGGUGUAAAUUGAAAAGAAAGGAUUAGGAUGGCGAUGAGCGCCUCAUCAUCAGUGGUGGCGCAAUCACAAACACUAGCAAAUGCAAAGCACCACCACUUUCGUCUCUCCUCUCCGCCGCUCUCUUCCGCCGCAUUCACCUCUCGCUCUUCGCAUUCUCUCUCCUUUAACGCCAUCCGUCUCUCUCCUCCACUUCGCCCUAGAAAGCCGAACCACCGCUGCUUCUCAUCACCAUCAUCAUCCGUAAAAGCAUCCGCAAAUUCUAUGGUAGCAUUGAUAUUUGAUUGCGAUGGCGUAAUUCUAGAGUCCGAAGACUUACAUCGCCAAGCCUACAACGAUGCCUUCACUUUCUUCAAUGUUCGUUGCCCUUCUUCUUCUUCGGAUGGACCUCUUGAUUGGGAUGUUGAGUUUUAUGAUGUUCUUCAGAAUCGUAUCGGAGGGGGAAAACCUAAGAUGCGUUGGUACUUCAAGGAGCAUGGAUGGCCUACUUCGACAGUCUCUGAUACACCUCCAGAAAAUGAUACUGAUAGAUCAAAGUUGAUCGAUAUCCUUCAGGACUGGAAAACAGAAAGGUACCAAGAAAUUAUCAAGUCUGGUUCAGUGCAACCAAGACCUGGAGUUUUGAGAUUGAUGGAUGAAGCAAAGGCUUCCGGGAAGAAGCUAGCUGUGUGCUCUGCUGCAACCAAAAGUUCAGUUAUACUCACUCUUGAGAGUCUGAUAGGACUAGAUCGCUUCCACGGUCUUGAUUGCUUUCUUGCAGGUGAUGACGUCAAAGAAAAGAAACCUGAUCCGUCAAUAUACCUUGCUGCUGCUGAGAAGCUAGGUGUGUUGGGGAGCAACUGUUUGGUAGUAGAAGAUAGUGUCAUUGGCCUCCAGGCUGCAACAAAGGCUGGAAUGCCUUGUGUGAUAACUUACACACCAUCCACUGCUAACCAGGAUUUUACGGAUGCAAUUGCAACUUACCCUGACUUGAAUUCUAUAAGAUUGAGUGAUUUGGAGGCACUGCUGUAAAUGUUAUUGCAGCUGGCUAGCUAUGUAAAAACAAGGGGGCUUGGAAACAGUACAUAAUAUUGCUGAUUUUCUUCUGCUACUAGCUGCUGAUAAGUAUUCGGGCAGGGGGGUUGUGGCAGCAGUCUAGCUUAAUGCCGUAGGCCCGAAGCCUCAGACGUAAACGGGAACAGACCAAAUGAUAAAUUUAGGCAAUAUAUGUAAGAUCAGAACUACAAACAACUCCGUAUUAGAAGUAGUAGUAGAUGCUACUACUUGUACAUAAAUGCAUAAACUGUUAUUGAAGUAGCACUCCAUGUCUCCAUCUGUAUUCCCUUCAGAUCGACUCCUUCGUGACUGGUAAACAUGUGCAUGCAUGUGUAUAAUUAAGGUUAAGUUUCUAGGCAAAGGGUUAGUUGCAUUAUGCUAAACAUCUUGAGAAAUGAGUAAUUUCCUGAUUUUAUGUGAAUAAUAAUAACCUGUAUUUAGUUUGAAAGAA